rnacentral:tRNA from 1 species
GCGAGUGUGCCGGAGCGGUCAAACGGGGCAGCCUCAAGAGCUGCUGGCUUAGUGCCUACGAAGGUUCGAAUCCUUUCGCUCGCA